rnacentral:rRNA from 1 species
ACUCAAAUGAAUUGACGGGGACCCGCACAAGCGGUGGAUGAUGUGGAUUAAUUCGAUGCAACGCGAAAAACCUUACCUACCCUUGACAUGGCAGGGACCCUCUAGAGAUAGGGGGGUGCCCGAAAGGGAACCUGCACACAGGUGCUGCAUGGCUGUCGUCAGCUCGUGUCGUGAGAUGUUGGGUUAAGUCCCGCAACGAGCGCAACCCUUGUCUCCAGUUGCUACGGCAACGGGCACUCUGGAGAGACUGCCGGUGACAAACCGGAGGAAGGUGGGGAUGACGUCAAGUCCUCAUGGCCCUUAUGGGUAGGGCUUCACACGUCAUACAAUGGCCGGUACAGAGGGUUGCCAACGCGCGAGCGGGAGCCAAUCCCAUAAAGCCGGUCGUAGUCCGGAUUGCAGUCUGCAACUCGACUGCAUGAAGUCGGAAUCGCUAGUAAUCGCGGAUCAGCAUGUCGCGGUGAAUACGUUCCCGGGUCUUGCACACACCGCCCGU